rnacentral:rRNA from 1 species
CCUACGGGAGGCAGCAGUGAGGAAUAUUGGUCAAUGGACGCAAGUCUGAACCAGCCAUGCCGCGUGCAGGAAGACGGCUCUAUGAGUUGUAAACUGCUUUUGUACGAGGGUAAACGCAGAUACGCGUAUCUGACUGAAAGUAUCGUACGAAUAAGGAUCGGCUAACUCCGUGCCAGCAGCCGCGGUAAUACGGAGGAUUCAAGCGUUAUCCGGAUUUAUUGGGUUUAAAGGGUGCGUAGGCGGUCGGAUAAGUUAGAGGUGAAAUCCCGAGGCUCAACUUCGGAAUUGCCUCUGAUCCUGUUCGGCUAGAGAGGAGGAGCGGUAGGCGGAAUGUAUGGUGUAGCGGUGAAAUGCGUAGAGAUCAGACAGAACACCGAUUGCGAAGGCAGCUUACCGGGCUACUUCUGACGUUGAGGCACGAAAGCGUGGGGAGCAAACAGGAUUAGAUACCCGGGUAGUC